rnacentral:lncRNA from 1 species
CAGCAAUAUGCUCACCUUGGCCCACUGAGAGCAGAUAUUUCACAGACAAUUUUUUGCUCACCUGUAAAAGUUCGUCUCUCCCCAGCUGAGUAUUGGUUCCCCACCCUUCUCCUUCUUCAGACUCUACUCUAAUCCCCAUGCAUUCCCAGGCUUCCUGGGGCUGAUGUGGGAAGACAAAGGAGGAACCCAGGACCCUAAGAAAAGGCAGCCUUCUGAUACCCACUGCUAUGGGAUCAUUAUAGGAGGGCCAGUACUUGGUGGGUAGUUGUGAGAUGCAGCAUAACUGUGUUCUCUGCAGGCAGGGCUUCUCCCUCAGGCUUGAGUUGUAUUUUCCAUGAACUUGUGCUGGGCCUUCCAGUGCCCAGCUCUUAGUCUUAGAAACUCCUUUGCUGCUAAGACCUUUCAGAGUGAGGCCUGAGGUAAGAGCAAAGCUGAAGGAGAUCAGGUGGCAGGCCUGCUCCAGUCCUGGUCUGGUCCUGGGGAUGAGCAUGUUGUGCAGGAUGGUAGGUUGGUUCUCCCCAUCUCGAGCCUUUGGGUGCUCUGGUUUGUUUGGCAUAUGGGUAUGCACUGGGUUGGUCCCUAGGAUCCUCUGCCUGCCUUUUAGAAUGUAUGAAGUGGUCCUGGUUCCACCCUAAUGUGAAAGAAGAUCUUGCCAUCGUAUAGGCAAGAGCAGUGGGUCCCAACACAAGGCCUAAUGAUGGCCAUCAUAAGAUGAUCAGACCAUCUUUUUGUUAUUUGAGUUACAAUAACAAAGUAGAUCGAAGAUAGGUCCACUCUGUAGAACUAAA